GUGGAUUAGAUACCCUGGUAGUCCACGCCGUAAACGAUGGAUACUAGCUGUUGGGAGCAAUUUCAGUGGCUAAGCGAAAGUGAUAAGUAUCCCACCUGGGGAGUACGUUCGCAAGAAUGAAACUCAAAGGAAUUGACGGGGGCCCGCACAAGCGGUGGAGCAUGUGGUUUAAUUCGAUGAUACGCGAGGAACCUUACCAAGGCUUAAAUGUAGUUUGACCGGUUUGGAAACAGAUCUUUCGCAAGACAAAUUACAAGGUGCUGCACGGUUGUCGACAACU
rnacentral:rRNA from 1 species